UUCUUGAGUGCGAUUCAACAACCCUGCCGAAGCUUUUUUAGCAGAGCAUAAUAAAAGCGCCACAAUAUAAGACUAAAAUGGACCUUCUCGAGAUUUUGCCCUCCAGCUUUGGAUAUGUCAUAUUAACUUUUCUUUACAGCUGGAUCAUGUUGUCCUAUCUUGGAGUCAAGGUUGGAGCUGCAAGAAAGAAGUACGACGUGAAGGCAGCACAAUUAAAUAUCCUACUAUGUACAGCGAUAAGGAACAGGUGUUCAACUGCAUCCAGAGAGCACAGCAGAACACUCUAGAGGUGUAUCCACAAUGGCUCGUCUUCCAGACUAUUGCGGCUCUUGUCUAUCCAGGCCGACGUGCGUGGUGUCUGCGGCUGGCACAACAGGAACCACUGUCAUGGCUGCUUCUGGAGCAUGAGCGAGAACAUGGUCGGGGAGAAGUGGAGCUGGAAUGUGUGUCUUGAUCAAAAAUCCCAUUUAUGCCUUCA